CCGCUCGGCAGAAUACCUCUACAUGAAGCUCUCAGAACCCAUAACUGGCAUCUAAUAACCCCCUACCCUGAUUCUCUCUCCCCAGAGACAAAAAAAGGCAGUCUAGUCAAGAGGAAACAAUGGCCCAGGAAAUGUGUAUUUUGCAGUGACAGCUCUCUGACUACACAGAGGCAUGUGGAGGGCGAGGUGGCUGGGCGUUCAGUCAGGCUUUGCACGGUCACGGGUUCACACCCGGGUUCCUUUAUUCAUACGAGAGUGCUAACUCGCUUCAGUCAUUUCCGACUCUUGGCGACUCCAUGGACUGUAUAGCCCGCUCUCUCCAUCGGAUUCUCUAGGCAAGAAUACUGGAGUGGGCUGUCAUAAUAGUUAGAAGCAAAUAUCUCAAUGGCACAUAAUCGGGGCUUGGUCUUCUCUUCUAUAACGUGGGAAACCUCCCCCUAGUUUGCAAAGUCUUUCUGGGUUAACCGGGUAAAGACGUGUACAGAAGCCAGCACAACGGCACGGAAGGAGUACUCAGCGGUGCACUCCUACAGGAACCGCCAAGACUUACUCCCGGAAACGUCUCUCACGUUCCUUCAGGGUCUUCAUGCCAUAGAUCCUUCAUGUCUCCACCUGGGCUUCAGAAUUGUCAGAGUGGACCGCAACACCAAUCCUGGAAUGCCUUGGCCAGCAGAGAAGCCCAUCAGUUACCUGGGCUUAUCACCCACAUCUUCUUCACCUACCUCCCC